GAGAGAGAACAUUGUGUGCCUUCCGUAAGUGCCCUGCAACCUAGGUAUGUGCCCUGACCAGGAACCCACAACUUUUCAGUAUAAAGAACAACUCUCCAACUGAGCCACAGCAGCCAAGGCCCAAGCAGCUUCUUUUGUUACCACCAUACUAAAACUUAGCACCCUUUUGCAGCAAAUCUGUAAAGCAAUAUAGAAUCCUAACUAUUAGCAUCGCCUUAUUUUCAAUAAGGCGAUGCUAUAGAAUUUCAAUACCAGAAGAGAAUUUGGGCCAUCUCCUAGAGUUUGUGUCUGUAGCACUUCAGCAUUAUUCAUAUUUGGGCAGGUUUUUAUGCUGGUGCAUUAAACUUUUUAUACUGUGUUUUGUGGUGCCCUGGGGCUCCAGCUGAGGAGGGGACCAAGCAGGUAAAGCUUACUUCCUUUCUGCUCCCUGCUUUCACUAGAGCAAUCCCAUUCUUCAACUUUAUUUUUAUUGAUUUUAGAGAGAAACUUUGAUUUGUUGUUUUACUUAUUUAUGCAUUUAUUGGUUAACUUUCGUAUGUAUCCAGACCAAGAAUCAAACCCGACACCUUGGCAUAUCACCACAGCCCUCUGACCAGCUGAGCUACCUAGCCAGGAACUCUGUCUGAAUAACUCCGUUUCCACGGCAAGACUACCUGAGGGUGUUCCCGCUGUCGAGGAUGUGGAACAUCUGGACCCCCUUAUACACUAUUGGUGGGAAUGCAAAAUAGUAUGAAUGCUUGGAAAACAAAUUGGCAGUUUCUUAAAAACUUAAACAGAUACAUACUUAUAACCCACCCAUUAUACUUUAGGACAAAUGUAAGUAUAUGUCUGUACAAAGAUUUGUACACAUAUCUUCAUAGAAUUUUUAUUUCUAAUACUUCAAAACAGAAACAACCCAAAUGUCCAUCAGUAUGUGAAUGGAUAAACAAAUUGUAGUAUGUCUACUGAGCAAUUGACACGCCCAGCAAUGUGGGUAAAUGUCAAAAUAUGAUUCAAUUCACAUAAUAGUCUAGAAAGUGUAAGCUGAUAUGUAGAGACAGACAGAAAUAGUCUGAGGACAGGAAAAGGUAUUACAAAAGGAUAUAAGGAAACCUUGGGGGGUUAUGCAUAUGAUCAUGGUGAUUGUUUCACAGGUAUGCACAUGUCAAAACUUAUGACAAUGUAUACUUUAAACAUGUAUAGUG